rnacentral:sRNA from 1 species
CAAUGUUUUGUUUUUCCUUUUUUUUCUUUUUGGAAUAUUUAUCAUAUUAAUUUGUUUAUGUUUAUUUCAAGAGUUUUUCCAUGUCAGAAUUUAAAUACAAGCAUUGGUUUACUGGGCAGUUCGAUGCAGUUGUGAUUGUUCACUGUUACCUGGUAAAACUCAUAUAUAUAAGAUUUUGAAUGAGGAAUGAAUCUUAAUUUUAUAACAGCUAGUGCAUGAAUUGCCAAAAUUUUAUUUAAGUAGUAGUAUUAGUUAGUGGUUUAUAUACAUGUAUAGAAAAAUAAGAAAAUCUUACACCAAAGAAUAUCUGCUAUGGCAUCUAAAGAUUGAAAUUUAUAAUGGAAGGAGAGUUAUCAGCUUUACAUUAAGUUACCGGGUGGAUUUCAUGGGGUUUUUUUCUUUUUGAUAUAGGAGGUCUUGCUAUGGGUUUGGGGAAAGGGUAAAACUAUGGCAUAAUAAUAAAUCUUUUUAAACUAUAGCUUUAGAGAGCUCAAGAAUUUGUUUGAUAUUUAAUUGUUUUUCCUAUAUCUAAAUGUGAGGAGUGAAUAUCUAUAUAUAGUUCUACCAGUUGGAUCCUACUGUUUCAUCGGUUUACCGUAAUAUAUUUUUUUUUAUCAGAGUAUAUGUCAUUGAAUUAAUCAUAUUUUACGAACAUUGUUGUUCACAUUUAAAAGUUUUAGAUAUACAUAACUAUUGAAUAGUACAUUACAUUACUACGUAUGCAUGUAUUUAAGUUCCAUUGAAUUGUGAUAUUUAAGAAAAAAAACAGGGAGAUAUGCUGUAUUAUAAUCCAAUAUUUUUCUUAUGAUAUCAUUUGAUAUUUUUGCAAAAAGAGCUCUCAACAUUCCAUUUAAUGCAUGUAGAAUGAUGUAUUUUAUAAUGAUAUGAAGAUGAGAUAAAAAUAUAUUUAAGAAUUAUAUGCAUCAGUAGAUAUAUUGCUGUUGUGUGUACUUUAUGUAAAUAAAUUUAUCUAUUUUUAACAUUUUGGACAAUUUCAUGAGAAAAGAGUAAAGAGAUUUGCUGUAUUUAAUUCAUAGUGUAAUAAGUUGAAGACAAUUUGUGAAUAAGCAAAUAAAAUUCUAGAUUUUG